CAAAUCUUAAAGACGGAAGCGCUUAGCCUAACGAGACAUGUUUACACACGCGUAUUUUGCACCUUACAGUUCAGUGUUCCGUGUUUACUCAGCUUCAAUAUAGGUUUGGGCAUUCUAAAUUAGCUUUCAAAAGUAAUUGUUUGGUUUUUUUUUUAAUUACCCAAGUUCAUUCAGAUUUCAUAACUUUUUUUUCGUUAUACAUUGAAAAUCAAGCUUUAUUCUAUGUGCUUAAAAGUUCCAAAAUUGUGUCAGCACUCAUGAUAACCAUCAACAUACUGGGUAAAGUUUAAAAACAAACUCGAGAAGGCUGACAAUAAAAGAGCUCUCCUAUAGGUUAUGGCUUUUACUAACCAAACCUUUAAAACAAACCAAAAAACCCUUACCAGAUUUAUCAUCUAAUAAAUUAAUAGGCCCAUCGGCAAACCCCAAGCGGCCACCCUUUCUCUCUCCCCUCAACAAAUGGGCCCCUCUCUAAGGUUUUUACCCGGUCACCCGAAGGGAAUGCAGCCCAUUCGUCCCUCCCCCACUUAUUAAACACUUAAAUGCAAACACAUGCCCUCCCACCCAGCUGCUCAUCUGCCUUUCCACCAGGAGCUUUGCUAUUUUAAAGGCAAAGUUUGGGCUCAGCCCCUAGGCCUUCUUCCCCGAAGGCCCUAGGACUGGACUUCUCUGUUGGAAUCCACGGUAGGCAGACAGGCGGCUGCGUUGCCAGAUGGGAAACAGAGCCUUUAACAAAGGGCUGCAAACGCCAGCACUUCAAAAGGAUCUGACCUGGCAGUCUAUUAGCAGGGGCAGCUGCUUUGAUGGAAUUCUGGAACCACCAACGCUGUCAAAACCUGCACUGCUCUCGGGUAUUGCACACUCACUUGUAAAAACAGCAGAAAACAUCAGAGAAAUACUCCCCAAACAUCCAUUUGUCAGCCCUUUAGAAAGCAUGAAUCCUGCUCUCUUGGGCCAUUGAUCUCCUCCUUCGUUUCCUCUUGGAAAGCAGAGGCUGCUUCUGGAGGACAGUGUGCGGGAGUGUGCUUUAAAAGAUACAAAUGACAACAGAGCCUUUGUAUGCUUGCUCUGAUGCUGAGGGUUUGAGGGUUUGCAUGGCCCGUCCAUGCAAAAGUACCAGUGCAUUUCCGUUUUUGCCUUGGGCCGGAAUUGCACAUACCCCACCUCUCUGCUUCCCACGUGCAAACCUGCAGGCUCUGAUGAUUCGGGCACCAAGUAGUCACGGGUGAGGCUCCCAUGCGGGUCAGUGGUCAAGUUACCUCGGGGAGAAAAUUGUUAUAAAUGAAGAUUCCUAGGCCAGAUGGGGCCUCCGAGCAAACUUGCAGAAGGACGGACAGGAGACUGUUUUUUUGACGGUCCGAAAUAACUUGAAAUUAGUAUAAGAUGCAACUGACGUAACUGUGUGCAAGAUGUGGGAAUGAGGGGGCUUUUAGGGGAGAUAGUGGGGUUCGUGGGGUCCAGAGCCGACGGCCAGGAAAGAAUUCUUGAAAACGUCUUUGGUGCAAAAUGGUGAUCUUGUUAAAGCACGGGGACAGGACCCGUGGGCAGGAAGAGCUGCCCCGGGGGCCUUGAGUGACUAGUUAUAUACUAUGGGGCUGCGGGAGGUGAAGCCCAGGGGAAGUUUCCAGUGAGAUUUUUAUAUGCUAAAGGAGACUCACAGGAUUUUGGAGGCCUAGCUAUUGUCCAGCUAGGGUUGUUUUCCCCUCUAGCAAAGCGUUAGCAUUAAGACAGUAAGGAGUUCCCGGAGAAACGUUUUACUCUGCUGGCCUCAAGUAUUUGUCAAUGGGCUACAGGUUCUAAGGAAAUUUAGUUCUAUCUGCCAUUUCCGUCUGCCUUUGUUCCCCACCUUACUACGGAGAGUGAUCUCCAUCCGUUCACCAUUUGUUUUUCCCCUUUCCUUUGUUCUUGGGCAGCCAGGAGUGCACACAUAUCCCAAGGGGGGGGGGGGGGGGCUGUCCGCUUGCCUUAUGCUUCCAGAAACAUCUGGAAGUACUGCAGAUGUGCGACCUGCAAAGAUGAUCCCGCCAAGCCACAGUCAGCUGAGCCUGAACACCGAUGUAUCUGUGCGGUAACAAUCAGGGCCUUUACGUAUGUGAAGUUCAUUUUUGCAUCCACGCUCCCUCCUUUUCUCCCUCCCUCCCAGCUUACCAUCUGGAUUCCACCUUGCACUUCCCGCCUGGGCUGCCCACGGAAGGUUGUCUUGGCUUUACCUUUGCUCUGCCAUUCACGACUUGCCCACCAUCCCGCUUGAUCCGCUACGCUAACCUCUGGAAGCGGGUCAGGGGGUUUCUCUCACAGACAACUCUUCUCACGAUGCUACUGAAAAGCAGAUUCUCAUUCUGCUUAUCGGGAUGUCUGGGUGAGGCCAUGCAUUUCUAGCAAGCUUCCAGAGAUGUGGAUGCUGCUGGUCAAUGGCUCCUACUUGGAGCAGCAAGGUCCUGGAGCUUGUAUCUCAACCUGAAAAGGAAAGGAACAACCAGGCCAUACUUCAGUGUGGGGAGGGCUUAGCUCAAAAGAGCAGAGAAACUGAUCAACGUCCAGCUAAGCCAAAGAGCAUUCUGAAUGCCAAUGACGAAGCAGGGAUGGAGGCAUGAGGUUAGCAGUGAUGAGCAACAUCCUUCCUGAUGGUUCUGAAAGCUCCAGGGGGAGAAAACUGUUUGGGGCUAACCGGGGAUGGAAGUCAGGAAACAAACCGGGAGGACAGGGGAGCAAAUGGGAGAGGAAGAAGACUGACGAGGACUGGGGGAGACAAACAAAAGUGACUUGUGUUGAGGAAGGGAGAAUGACCUGACGGUGUUCUCAGGUAGAAACUGGAAAACUGUUCACCCUGGUCUAGAAAAAAGAAGAGGCCUGGGCUAUGACAAAGUCCUAACAGAAGCUCUUUUGGUGUAGGUGAGUGGCUCAGUGCCCUGGGAGGGACCUAUCUAAUCCCAAACGACCCCACCUCCUUAUACAUCAUUUAAAAUGCUUUCUCCCUGAAAGCCAACGAGCCAGCUGUUAAAUAAAUCUCAAAUGAAAAACAAAACAGGAUUUGCUUCACAGAGAUUUGAUUUUCAAUUCACAGCUAAAUUUGUUGGAACACAGUCAUUCCAUAGAGGAAAAACCACUGUUAACAGUCUGAUGCAGUAAAUGUGCCAAAAGUAAUAGUAUAGAAAGUUGCAACUGACAUUAACGAUGGAAUGAACGCCAAGGAAAAAGAAAACAAAGAUACAUUCAAAGAUGAUUAUGAUGCCAGUAGCUAACGCUAUUAUGUUAAAAUGUUUAGUAACUGAGAGAAUGGAGCCACAAAUAAAUGGGCAGGCACGAACUAUUAAGAAUAGUUCAGUGGUCAGUUAUGUCAAGGGCAGUGUUUUACAUCUAAAAUCACAUUUUUGUGCUUUUUCAGGAUGUGCAGUCAAGCUGAAGUAAUUCUACAAUCCUUCAUGUUUCUAUGUAUGAGGCAGCAGAAGAGCUGGGGCAACUUGUGAAGGUCACGGAGGUGGUGGAGGGGAGGAUCAAACCCAGGCAGAUUACACCAUAAACACUUCCUCCAGAGGGGACCCGGAGAUUCAUUUCCUGUCA